rnacentral:rRNA from 1 species
AAUCAACGCUGGCGGCGUGCCUAACACAUGCAAGUCGCACGAGAAAGGGGAGCAAUCCCUGAGUAAAGUGGCGCACGGGUGAGUAACACGUGAAUUAUCUACCUCCGAGUGGGGAAUAACUGAGAGAAAUCUUAGCUAAUACCGCAUAACACUUACGAGUCAAAGCAGCAAUGCGCUUGGAGAGGAGUUCGCGGCCGAUUAGUUAGUUGGCGGGGUAAUGGCCCACCAAGACGAUGAUCGGUAUCCGGCCUGAGAGGGCGCACGGACACACUGGAACUGAAACACGGUCCAGACUCCUACGGGAGGCAGCAGUGGGGGAAUUUUGCGCAAUGGGGGAAACCCGUGACGCAGCAACGCCGCGUGGAGGAUGAAGUAUCUU